rnacentral:tRNA from 1 species
UGCGGGGUCGGCUAACUGGUAGGCCACCAGCCUUUGGAGCUGGGAGUCCGGGAUCGAAGCCCGGCCCCGCAGCCA